rnacentral:rRNA from 1 species
GACGAACGCUGGCGGCGUGCUUAACACAUGCAAGUCGAACGGAAAGGCCCUGCUUUUGUGGGGUGCUCGAGUGGCGAACGGGUGAGUAACACGUGAGUAACCUGCCCUUGACUUUGGGAUAACUUCAGGAAACUGGGGCUCAUAUCGGAUAGGAGCUCCUGCUGCGUGGUGUGGGUUGGAAAGAUUCGGCGGUGGGGGAUGGACUCGCGGGUUAUCAGCUUGUUGGUGGGGUAGUGGCUUACCAAGGCUUUGACGGGUAGCCGGCCUGAGAGGGUGACCGGCCACAUUGGGACCGAGAGACGGCCCAGACUCCUACGGGAGACAGCAGUGGGGAAUAUUGCACAAUGGGCGGAAGCCUGAUGCAGCAACGCCGCGUGCGGGAUGACGGCCUUCGGGUUGUAAACCGCUUUCGCCUGUGACGAAGCGUGAGUGACGGUAAUGGGUAAAGAAGCACCGGCUAACUACGUG